rnacentral:rRNA from 1 species
AACGAACGCUGGCGGCAGGCUUAACACAUGCAAGUCGAGCGCCCCGCAAGGGGAGCGGCAGACGGGUGAGUAACGCGUGGGAACGUACCUUUUGGUUCGGAACAACUCCGGGAAACUGGAGCUAAUACCGGAUAAGCCCUAACGGGGAAAGAGUUAUCGCCGAAAGAUCGGCCCGCGUCUGAUUAGCUAGUUGGUGAGGUAACGGCUCACCAAGGCGACGAUCAGUAGCUGGUCUGAGAGGAUGAUCAGCCACACUGGGACUGAGACACGGCCCAGACUCCUACGGGAGGCAGCAGUGGGGAAUAUUGGACACUGGGCGCAAGCCUGACACAGCCAUGCCGCGUGAGUGAUGAAGGCCUUAGGGUUGUAAAGCUCUUUUGUCCGGGAAGAUAAUGACUGUACCGGAAGAAUAAGCCCCGGCUAACUUCGUG